CUGCCAGCGUGGAAAACCGGCCACGUGCAGGUCUGGGGCUGGGCACACACAGGGUCACACCCAGGAAGGGAUAAGCUAUGCAUUUCUAUUGAUAGAGUGGGCAGGGACCACAGGAAUUUAGAAAAUAUUAGGGCCAAGUUUACUGGGGAAAAUGUACAGGCCAGCAGAUAGCAUGGAAAAGUCCCCUCCCUGAGGAAGGGAAGCAUCUCAGAGGAGGUAAGAGACUGCUCCCAGGGCUGUGGUUAGAGCCUCCCCAACCGCAGCACGAUGCCCUUUGUCCCAUCUUCAGCAGGAGGGGCUGCUCUCCAUGGAGAUGAGGCUGACAGGGUCAGCGGAGUAGCCUGUGACAGGCAGGUUUUAAUAAGUUCAUUUUCAGCCAACCCCUGAAAUGGGUUAUUUUUGUUCCAUGGGAAUGCUCUACAUCUUCUGAAAGAUGGCACCUGGGACCCAGCCCAUGGCCUUCCUGGGGUAGGAUGUGCUGGAGAAGGAUUCUGUGGACCUGACAGAGAAGACAGAAGCCAGAGAGUAGACACCCGGAAAGAAAGAGGGAAAAGUGUGGUGGGAAGGACAGAGGGGACCCGAAGUUCCCCACGCCAGGGAAAUGACAGGGGGUUGCCAGUCUGUUUCUGAUGGUUGAGCAGUCAGGGGCCCAGAGACGCAGGAAACCCAAAAUCCUUGGUCCACCACGGGGCUGUCCUCAGGGUCUGGAGAGCAGGCCCCAUACUCCAGGCCCCCAUCCUCCAGGCCCUCGUCCCCCAGGCUCCAUCCUCCAGGCCCCCAUUCUCCAGGGCUCCAUCCUCUAGGCCCCUGUCCUCCAGGCCCCCAUCCUCUAGGCCCUCAUCCUCCAGGCUCCAUCCUCCAGGCUCCAUCCUCCAGGUUUCAUCCUUCAGGCCAUCAUCCUCCAGGCCCCCGUCCUCCAGGCCCCCAUCCUCCAGGCCCCAUCCUCCAGGCCCCCAUCUUUCAGGCCCCUGUCCUCCAGGCUCUUGUCCUCCAGGCCCUCAUCCUCCAGGCCCCUGCUCCUCCAGACCCUCAUCCUCCAGACCCUCAUCCUCCAGGCCCCCAUCUUUCAGGCCCCUGUCCUCCAGGCCCUCUUCCUCCAGACCCUCGUCCUCCAGGCCCCUGUUCCUCCAGACCCUCGUCCUCCAGACCCUCAUUCUCCAGGCCCCCGUCCUCCAGGCUCCAUCCUCCAGGGCUCCUCUGGGUCCGGGUCAAGUACCUCCAGGCUCUCUGCUGACUGUUCACCACUGGGCAACCACAGGGACUCGAUCCAUGAAAACUCUGGCAAGGAACUUCCAUCUCCACUCCACUUCUGCCACUUCUGCCACCCUCCCAUGACCACACUCAGAACUUGAGCUCCACCUCUGAAAGAGGCAGAAUUGCCUUAUCUCACACAGUGGUGACAGCACUCUGUAAUAAUCUGCAUGGGCCAGGGCUCCUUGGUUGCAGGUAACAGAUACCACUGUUACGGCCCAACUCUGUUCUUCUAUGUUGAAGCCGGAACCCCCAGCGCCUCAGAAUGGGAUCACAUCUGGAGAAGGCGCCUUUAAAGAGAGUGCAAGUUAGGUAAGAAAGAACGGAUGGUGGACAGCCAGGAAACAGUCAGCUACGAGAUGUUGUGUGGAAAGCCCACCUUUCUGACACUGGAGAACUGUGGGAAGAACGGACAGGCCACACACCAGCUGGGCUCUGAGAACCCCCAGCUUCUGCUCCACAGUGAGCCAGCAGGAAUCCAAAGGGCAUGGGCAGACCCCAGGGGCUCCUUCACCCCACCCAGGGGUAGAGAGGGCAAGACGGAGUAGAGCGAGCAGACAGAGAGUGUAAGAUCAGACAUACCAUAGAUGGAAAAGAAAAGCUAAAACUUCCUUGCACAUCUGAGAGGUAAGAGGAGGUGUCUGUGGCCCCCCUGACACAUACGUGACAUAUGUAUUAUUACGGCUCAUGUGUGUGCUGCUGUGUGCAGGGGGCAGGGGGCUUCCCGUUCCUGAUGGUUCUUCUUGGUGGGUGUCUCCCGGCCUCUCAGGCCUCUUUAUCUGCUGAACGUGGUAGCCAAGGGUUUGGGAAUGAUUUGCCAGACUGGUUAAUGUGGAAAGAGCUGGCCCCGCUCAGUUCUGCACCUCCCUCUUCCUCCCUGGAACCGUCUGGCUGCAGAGAGCAGGAGCUUUCCAGAGCUCCCGGGGGAUCCCAUCUCCAGUAUAACUGUGCAACGUGUGCCCAGCACAAGAGCACCAGAUGGAGGGACAGGUGGGAGGAGGAGGAACCCAGGGUGCAUUUAGCUUGGGGCUUGCUGAGCUGAGGUCCCCAGAGCAAGGA
rnacentral:lncRNA from 1 species